AGGACGAACGCUGGCGGCGUGCUUAACACAUGCAAGUCGAGCGGUAAGGCCUUUCGGGGUACACGAGCGGCGAACGGGUGAGUAACACGUGGGUGAUCUGCCCUGCACUUCGGGAUAAGCCUGGGAAACUGGGUCUAAUACCGGAUAUGACCUCCUAUCGCAUGGUGGGUGGUGGAAAGAUUUAUCGGUGCCGGAUGGGCCCGCGGCCUAUCAGCUUGUUGGUGGGGUAAUGGCCUACCAAGGCGACGACGGGUAGCCGACCUGAGAGGGUGACCGGCCACGACUGGGACUGAGACACGGCCCAGACUCCUACGGGAGGCAGCAGUGGGGAAUAUGCACAAUGGGCGAAAACCUGAUGCAGCGACGCCGCGCGAGGGAUGAAGGCCUUCGGGUUGUAAACCUCUUUCAGCAGGGACGAAGCGCAAGUGACGGUACCUGCAGAAGAAGCACCGGCUAACUACGUGCCAGCAGCCGCGGU
rnacentral:rRNA from 1 species